UUUAGGAGAUGGGUUGGCCAAUGACUAAGUGGUCCCCCAGAGCUGUAAGCAGAAAGCUGAGGAAACCUUAGGGCAUAUGGAUCACUGCCAGCCAGCAGCCCAAAAUAGAUGUACGUGACACAGCGUUACAACAUAAGUUCAGCGAGUUUAUCAAGCCCCUCCUAGAAGGCAACAUGAUUUAGUGAAGAGGAGACUGGACUAGGUGCUAUUCCAGUCUCUACCAUUGUCUGUGUCUAUAUCAUCUCUAUGGCAAUCCUAAAGCUACCUAUGGAAAAAACAAAUCUCACUCAUUCAAUCCUACUCUAUAUACACUGCAUACUAAAAAUGGUAUAUGGUUGGCCUGAGAUGGUGCUGACUGUACCAUAUACAACUCAGGUCACGGGGUGGGUGAAAUACAGCCCAUGAGCUGAAUCCAGCCCACCAAGACAUUCUAUCCAGCCCCUCCCCACCCCCCAAUGUAAUAAAUUAAUAUUUAUUAGCUUCUGGCUGCAUGUGAAAGCUGACAGGAGCCAGGGACAGUAGGACCCAGAGGGGGCCUCAGCAAGCUUGAGCAGCCCAGUCUGCCUCACCCGCGGCCAGUUCCCUGCUUUCCUGCCCCAGCCCUGCUCCAGCACCACGUGGCAGCCAGCAGAAUCGCCGGAUUGCAGAGCAUGGAACAGCGACAAUACAUCUGUGAGUGUGCAGGCUGGGGGGCUGAAUCUGUGUGCAAGCUAGGGGGCCAAGUCUGUGCAUGUUCAGGCUGGGGGGCCAAGUCCCACAUGCACCCACACCCCCCUUUCACUGCAAUACACAAACUCCAGCCACCGUCCCCCACACACAGUCCCCACAAACCCCAUACCCCCCCCACACCCCAGAUAUCCACACACACACCCAUAUGCUCCCUCACCCCACAUACCCACACACCCACAGCCCCCAACAAAUCUAUACCCACCUCUACAAUAUACAAGAUUAAGACUUCAUUGUAAGCUAUUGUGCAGUCACCUCUAUGUACACUAAACAAACACAUGUAAAUCAGGACAAAAAAUAUAUAUUUUAAA